rnacentral:rRNA from 1 species
UACGUAGGGGGCAAGCGUUGUCCGGAUUUAUUGGGCGUAAAGAGCGUGUAGGCGGCUCGAUAAGUCUGCUGUGAAAGUCCAGGGCUCAACCCUGGAAGGCCGGUGGAAACUGUCGGGCUAGAGUCCGGAAGAGGCGAGUGGAAUUCCCGGUGUAGCGGUGAAAUGCGCAGAUAUCGGGAGGAACACCAAUGGCGAAGGCGGCUCACUGGCCCGGUACUGACGCUGAGGUGCGAAAGCGUGGGGAGCAAACAGG